rnacentral:misc_RNA from 1 species
GGAAGUGAAAGUCGUAACAAGGUUUCCGUAGGUGAACCUGCGGAAGGAUCAUUAUUGUAUAACCGAGGUGCGAGGGCUGUCGCUGACCCGAAAGGUCGUGCACGCCCGAGUGCCCUCACACACAUCCAUCUCACCCCUAUGUGCACCACCGCGUGGGUCCCCCUUUGGCUUGUUCGGAGGGGGGCUUACGUUUUCACACAAACUUUGUAUGCAGUGUAGAAUGUAUUUUUUGUUUUUGCGAUCACGCAAUCAAUACAACUUUCAACAACGGACCUCUUGGCUCUC